CCUAUGAUGAAUAAAAGUUUUGCCUACAUUGUCUGAUUGAUUACUAUGAAGAGAACUUAAUUAAGAUUUCUGAGGCCGUUAUUAAUUUAUAUAGUUGAAUCUUGAAUGUGCAAAUAUUGAUAUUAUGUUACUCUGUCAAAAUUACCUUCUUUACUAUCUUCAAGAGGUCAUUGAUGAAAAUUUGCUUUCUCUUUUUGCUCCAGCAACAUUUCAUCUGUAGAAUAAAAUUUAAGGUAAUAGAAUGGGCAAGCCAUGUGGCUACUUUUAAUCAUUCCGAAUACACUUUAGAUGAGGCGAUUUCAAAUUCCUUUGACCCGUUCCCGUUAUAGAUAUUUUUUGUAUGUUUUGCCUUUCUGACCAGCUAGAGAAAUGAUAUGAUGCAAGCUGACCAAUCCACCCGUCGCCUCUUAUCGAGCAAGUUCUAUUCAAGCUUAAUGAUAGUUACAUCUGAAGAUUUGUGUGGUUUUGGAAGGUCUGCUGCUCAAAUCAAGGCUGGUUUCAUGGCUCGCAUUGGCCGUAGAAAGGCUGGAAUAUAGAACAUGAUAUAGCCAAAUACCCGUCGCAUGUCUUUUCUAUAACUAGCUAAUACCUACAAACGUACACGGGCAGCCGAGCGUGUUGUGCAUCAAAUCAAAGAAAUAGAGAUUGUAUAGAGCCGAAAGGGCAAAAGCUUUGUUCAUCUGGCUGUCCGAGACUGUAACCUAUGAUUUUUCGAUUGACAGUGGUACCGAAUACUAAUUUUAUUUUAUUUUUUUUUUUUUUUACGAUUAUUAAUUCUGCUGUAUAUGCUAUAAAAAUAUUUUCACACAAAUUUAAGUUGUUUUGCAUUAUGUAUUAGUUUUAAUAGUAUAAAAGUAAAUAAAGAGUAAUAAUAGUAAGUAUAUUUAAUGUUUAAUAGUAAGAUUUACAAGAAAAUCGGUUAUUUGACAUGGACAUCAUAACCCACACAACUAUAUUUUUGGACGGUCAGACUCUGAUGACCAACGAUGGUAUUUGAUGUGUUUAUUUAUU